UUUUUCACAAUGACACCCCACUCCUUAAUUCUCAUCAUGCUGGCCUCCUUCUCUAGAGGUGGCCUCUCCCAGGUUGUCCUGACCCAGUCAGAUGCAGCACUGAAGAAACCAGGAGAAUCCCAUAAAUUGACUUGUGCUGUCACAGGAUUCAAUGUUAACAGCUACUGGAUGAAUUGGAUCAGACAGAAGCCUGGCCAAGGACUGGAAUGGCUUGUUUUCUACUACACAUCUAGUUACAACUAUUAUUCAUCAACAAUCCAAGGACGGUUUACAGCCUCCAAAGACAGUUCCAACUACUAUCUGCAAAUGAACAUCCUAAAAGCUGAAGACACAGCUGUCUAUUACUGUGCAAGCUCUCUUCAGGGAUUCAUUUCAGAAAGAUUCCUGGGAUUUCUUCCACGAGAAGCCAUAUUCUUCAUUAAAUUUUUUGAAUUGGAUGGAAUCUCCUCUCCUGCUAUUUUCUCCAAAUAA